AGAGUUUGAUCCUGGCUCAGAUUGAACGCUGGCGGAACGCUUUACACAUGCAAGUCGAACGGUAACGCGGGGAGAAGCUUGCUUCUCUCCGGCGACGAGUGGCGAACGGGUGAGUAAUACAUCGGAACGUGUCCGCUCGUGGGGGACAACCAGCCGAAAGGUUGGCUAAUACCGCAUGAGUUCUACGGAAGAAAGAGGGGGACCCGCAAGGGCCUCUCGCGAGCGGAGCGGCCGAUGACUGAUUAGCCGGUUGGUGAGGUAACGGCUCACCAAAGCAACGAUCAGUAGCUGGUCUGAGAGGACGACCAGCCACACUGGGACUGAGACACGGCCCAGACUCCUACGGGAGGCAGCAGUGGGGAAUUUUGGACAAUGGGCGCAAGCCUGAUCCAGCUAUUCCGCGUGUGGGAUGAAGGCCCUCGGGUUGUAAACCACUUUUGUAGAGAACGAAAAGACACCUUCGAAUAAAGGGUGUUGCUGACGGUACUCUAAGAAUAAGCACCGGCUAACUACGUGCCAGCAGCCGCGGUAAUACGUAGGGUGCGAGCGUUAAUCGGAAUUACUGGGCGUAAAGGGUGCGCAGGCGGUUGAGUAAGACAGAUGUGAAAUCCCCGAGCUUAACUCGGGAAUGGCAUAUGUGACUGCUCGACUAGAGUGUGUCAGAGGGAGGUGGAAUUCCACGUGUAGCAGUGAAAUGCGUAGAUAUGUGGAAGAACACCGAUGGCGAAGGCAGCCUCCUGGGACAUAACUGACGCUCAGGCACGAAAGCGUGGGGAGCAAACAGGAUUAGAUACCCUGGUAGUCCACGCCCUAAACGAUGUUAACUAGUUGUUGGGAAGUAAAAUUCUCAGUAACGCAGCCAACGCGAGAAGUUAACCGCCUGGGAAGUACGGUCGCAAGACUAAAACUCAAAGGAAUUGACGGGGACCCGCACAAGCGGUGGAU
rnacentral:rRNA from 1 species